rnacentral:misc_RNA from 1 species
AUUUCCCCAAUGGGUUCUCCGGAUUUCUGGAGACUUGUAGGGGUUGUGGGUUUUUCGAUGUGUCGUCUCCGGACGGGCGGUGCAGGGUAGUCGAGUUGGACUUGGUGGAAUUCGGUUUAUUCGAAUCCGUCGAGUCUGGCUGGCACGAUCGUGUGCGGCUGUGUGCUGGACGGUGUAGGGUAGGUUGCUUGGACAUGGUCGGUUCGAGGAUCGAUUCGAGGGCCGGCCUGUCGAUGAUGUGUGAUGUAUGCGGUCUAGGGUAGGCUGGUUUGUCUUGGUCCAAUUUGAUGUCGGCUCCCGUGCAGACCAGAGUGAGGGCGGUCCAGGGUAGGCAGCUUAGAUUUGAUCGAUCUGGAGGUCGAUUCUCCGGCUGGCGGAUCUGACACUGUCGAAACGAGAUGCGAGCGGUGUAGGGUAGGCCAGUUUUGUCGUCGCCAGGUUGCGAUUCGGACGAGAUAUGUGGUCUAGGGUAAGUAGAGUUCGAGUUUCGUCGCCAACAGUUUGCUGUAUGUGUAGGGUAGGUGCAGGGUAAGCAAAUCUCUCUCUGGCCAGACGGUUUUGCGGUCUGGUGGUCGUGAGUCGAUUUUUUUGUUUU